GAAGCCGUAGUGGGAGUAUUGUGGAACUUAUAGCUGGAGGGGGUUCCUCAUGCAGCCCUGUCCUUUCAAGAAAACAAAAAGGUGAUUAUUUCAGAAAUCAGAGUCUUGUGUUGAAUCUUACUGAUUUUCUUGUAUUUCUGUAAUGUAAUGUAUCUUGUAUUUCUUGUAAUACUGUAUUGGACUCUGUGUAUAUCUCUUCUCAGAUGAGUGAUUAUAUGUGUGAAUGUUGCUGGAAUCUGAUAACCAGGCCUGAAUAGUUUUGUAGGGUGGCUUUUAAAAAUUACUUUCAUAUCAGAAUUGCUUUGUCAUAAAUUUUGAACGCAUCAUAAAUUUCUAAUGUUCGGGGUCAGCAGACUUUUUUUGUAAAGGGACAGAGUGUAAACAUCUUAGCUUUAUGGGCCAUAUGGUCUCUUUUGCAACAUUCAGCUCUGCCCUGUGACAGGAAUGCAGUUGUAAAGACAUGAGCUACUGGCCAGCUAUGUUCCAGUAGAACUUUACUUACAGAAACAGACAGGCUGUAGUUUGCCAAUACCUGCCUUAGGGAAUGUGUUGUUAUAUUUUGUGAGUUACCUUCUCAGUAAAUUUUAUUUAGUAUUAGUCAGGAAUAUUAU
rnacentral:lncRNA from 10 species